AGGCAAAUGGACACAGUUUUGUACAUAUGGAACAUGAAAAAGCUGUAUUACUACUGAAGAGUUUCCAGAACACAGUAGACCUAGUUAUUCAACGAAAACAUUUACUGUAGCUGAAUCUCUGAGGCCUAAAGUAUAUUAUUCAUAAACUGAAAACAUUUGGAGACAUUUCAUUGAAGAAUAUAACAAAAACAUUAAAUAUUAUGAUUAUAAAUAUUAAAAUAAAUAUUUGUUGGGCAUCAACUACAUAUCAGGUACUAUGAGGGAUGUAAUGUGGUCCCCUCAGCACAGAAUCUCACAGUCCAGAGGAAAGAUGAGAGAAGUUCCACAUCAAAGACAGUACAAGGCAAUGUGUAUCUUUCCCAUUCUGCCUGAGAUCAUAGCUAUUUGGUGUUUGUUUUUCCUAUGAACUUUAAGCUUUUUGAGAGAGAGGAUCAGACAAUACUUAACAAAGGACUUCUAGACAGAAGAGCCUCAGGAGAGAAACUUAGUGUCAUUGCGCAUCAACUUAGAAAAUGUGAAUUGAUUAAAAAUAUGUGAUGGAUUGUGCAGCAUGCUUACAUUUGAAAAUGGAGAUUGUGCCUUUAAAUACUUAAUCAAAGGACUCCUGACCUUCAAGUACCAGUUUGGGCAUAUUACUGGAGAUCCAGGUUGAAAGUCUUUCCACUCAGAGGACUCUUAUUUGGCUUGAAUGUGGAAAAGGCAUCUGGUUCAG
rnacentral:lncRNA from 1 species